ACGGCUCAGUAACACGUAGUUAACCUAACCUAUGGAUGGGGAUAACCUCGGGAAACUGAGAAUAAUCCCCGAUAGAUCACAAUGCCUGGAAUGGUUUGUGGUUGAAAUGAUUUAUCGCCGUAGGAUGGGACUGCGGCCUAUCAGCUAGUUGGUGAGGUAAUGGCCCACCAAGGCUAUAACAGGUACGGGCUCUGAGAGGAGGGGCCCGGAGAUGGGUACUGAGACACGGACCCAGGCCCUAUGGGGCGCAGCAGGCGAGAAACCUUUGCAAUGUGCGAAAGCACGACAAGGUUAAUCCGAGUGUCUUCUGCUAAAGAAGUCUUUUGUUAGUCAUAGAACCACUGAUGAAUAAGGGGUGGGCAAGUUCUGGUGUCAGCCGCCGCGGUAAAACCAGCACCUCGAGUGGUCAGGAGGUUUAUUGGGCCUAAAGCAUCCGUAGCCGGUUGUUUAAGUUUUCGGUUAAAUCUAUGCGCUUAACGUAUAGGCUGCCGAAAAUACUGGACAGCUAGGGAGUGGGAGAGGCACACGGUACUCAAUAGGAAGGGGUAAAAUCCUUUGAUCUGUUGAUGACCACCUGUGGCGAAGGCGGUGUACCAGAACACGUUCGACGGUGAGGGAUGAAAGCUGGGGGAGCAAACCGGAUUAGAUACCCGGGUAGUCCCAGCUGUAAACGAUGCAAACUCGGUGAUGCAUUGGCUUGUGGCCAAUGCAGUGCCGCAGGGAAGCCGUUAAGUUUGCCGCCUGGGAAGUACGUACGCAAGUAUGAAACUUAAAGGAAUUGGCGGGGGAG
rnacentral:rRNA from 1 species